rnacentral:lncRNA from 1 species
CCCAUGGCGCCCCAUAGAGUCCCAUAGUGUCCCCAUGGCGCCCCAUAGACGUCCCAUAGUGUCCCUAUGGCACCCCAUAACACCCCAUAGAGUCCCAUAGUGUCCCCAUGGCACCCCAUAACACCCCAUAGAGUCCCAUAGUGUCCCCAUGGCACCCCAUAACACCCCAUAGAGUCCCAUAGUGUCCCCAUGGCGCCCCACAGUGACCCCAUAGCGUCCCAUGGCGCCCCAUAGAGUCCCAUAGUGUCCCCAUGGCGCCCCAUAGACGUCCCAUAGUGUCCCUAUGGCACCCCAUAACACCCCAUAGAGUCCCAUAGUGUCCCCAUGGCACCCCAUAACACCCCAUAGAGUCCCAUAGUGUCCCCAUGGCGCCCCACAGUGACCC